AGCAACAAAACUCGAAAAAUAAAGCUUCCUAUGCUAGGCAAAUUAACAUAGAUAUACAAAAUAUAGAAAAUUAUCUUACUCCGAAGAAGAAGCAUUAAUCAAAAACAAAAAAGCAAAUAGAGUUUCUUACGCUAAGAACCGUUUGAAUUCAUGAAAUUAAAUAGUCAUAUUAGAAUAUUAGAAUGUUAUUGUGAUUUAAAAAAAGAUGUAGAAAAUUAUUUUUGAACUACUGAAUAAAGCAUUAACCAAAACACAGUGAACAAAAGGUAAAUGUUACUUAUGGAAAGAACAGACUGAGGAUGGACAAUACGGUGAAAGAGGUCGAAUUGUUCAACGCAAAGUCUUGAAAUCAGAACUCGGGCCUCCGUCAUCCUUUUCAAUCCUCAGAACAAACCCCGCCGGUGAUGUCGAAGCAUUCCAUAUGGCCAUAGAAAUAGCUGACGCCGACGAAACCAUACCGUCGCCGUUGGAAUCAUCAUUGACUGAGUAAGGUCUUACGAGGGAGACUAAUUAACGGAUUAUAAGGAUGGGGCCGGUUUCUAAAAUAAACGGGUUAAAAUUGCCUAGUUAGCAAUUAAUUAUUUUGGAGGUCCCGAUGAUACCUAAG
rnacentral:lncRNA from 1 species